AAGCUCGUAGUUGAAUUUCGGGAUUAGUACGUCGGUCGUGCCUUAGGUACGUACUGGUGUUACUGGUUCCUACCUUCUGACGAACCAUCAUGUCAUUAAUUUGGUGUGGUGGGGAAUCAGGACAGUUACUUUGAAAAAAUUAGAGUGUUUAAAGCAGGCUCGCGCUUGAAUACAUUAGCAUGGAAUAAUGAAAUAGGACGUUGAUCCUAUCUUGUUGGUUUCUAGGAUUGACGUAAUGAUUAAUAGGGAUAGUUGGG
rnacentral:rRNA from 1 species